AUACGUAGGGAGCGAGCGUUGUCCGGAAUUACUGGGUGUAAAGGGAGCGUAGGCGGGAGUGCAAGUCAGAUGUGAAAUACAUGGGCUCAACCCAUGGGCUGCAUUUGAAACUGCAUUUCUUGAGUGACGUAGAGGUAAGCGGAAUUCCUGGUGUAGCGGUGAAAUGCGUAGAUAUCAGGAGGAACACCGGUGGCGAAGGCGGCUUACUGGGCUUUUACUGACGCUGAGGCUCGAAAGCGUGGGGAGCAAACAGGAUUAGAUACCCUGGUAGUCCACGCUGUAAACGAUGAUUACUAGGUGUGGGGGGACUGACCCCUUCCGUGCCGCAGUUAACACAAUAAGUAAUCCACCUGGGGAGUACGGCCGCAAGGUUGAAACUCAAAUGAAUUGACGGGG
rnacentral:rRNA from 1 species